UGCACCUGUGACAUAUGGAAGUUCCCAGGCUAGGAGUCAACUCAGAGCUGUAUCCACAGCAACACCAGACCUGAGGUGCAUCUUAGACCUAUGCCGCAGCUUGUGGCAACACUGGAUCUCUAAGCCACUGAGCAAGGCCAGGGAUUGAACCCACAUCCUCAUGGACACCAUGUCAGGUUCUUAACCCACUGAGCCACAUUGGAAACUCCCCAUCAUCAUCUAAGCACUGUUGAGGAGUCCAUCCCAGGGAAAGAAAUCAUGUUUCUAUUAGGAAGGGGAAAGGGCUCUGCAAAAGCAGUAAAGAUUCAGUGCAAUCAUCAUCAUUUCAUGAAUUUGUAAUUGAGCAGGACACAGUGGGGCCUUCCUGGGACAGACCCCUCCCCCAUACCCUCUGCUGUAGCUCCUCUCUGACGUACCUAGAAAAUGGUAUCUGAUACACAUCUACUGAGUUGUUUUACAGAUGUUAAAACCCCCACUGAAUGGGAGAAAUGAACACAUCCCCUCGGGAGUCUGGCGGGAAAUACUUGUAAGGACUUAAAUGCCUUUUUACUUUACUGUACCAUCAACCAAUCGGAUCACACACCCUGGGACUCUCCUCCUUUGCCUUGCCCUUAUUUGUUUUUUUAACUUUCAUUUUUUUUUAUUAGAGUUGAUUUAGUGUUGUGUUAGUUUCAGGUGAAAGUGAUUGAAGAAGGCUUCUCAGAGAUUAAAACAAAGCUUAAACUUGAAAGAAGAAUUCAGCUAUGCAAAAGCCUAUAGAAAGAGUAUGCCAUGAAGGAGUUCCCCUUGUGGCUCAGCAGUAACGAACCCAACUCACAUCCAUGAGGACACCAGUUCGAUUCCUGGUCUUACUCAAGGAUUAAGGAUCAGGCAUUGCCAUGAGCUGUGGUGUAGGUUGCAGACUCAGCUUGGAUCUGAUAUUGCUAUGGCUGUGGCGUAGGCCAGUGUCUACCCCCUAGCCUGGGAAAUUCCAUAUGCCACACUUGCAGCCCUUAAAAGCAAAACAAAAAUGACAACAAAAAACAAACAAAUAAACAAGAUUAUGCCAUGAAAAAGUAGCAAAAUGCAAUUGUCUUGAGUUAGUACGACAGAGAUCAAGUUAUGCGUCCAUCAAUUGUUUGCCAGCUCCCACAUCAUUUCCCCCUUUUCUGUGAAUACCAGAAGAUUCUAUCUCCCAGGCUUUUUUAUAAUUAGAUUGAGGUCUUGUGACUGAAUUCUGGCCAAUGAUCUUUGUUCCAUUUCCAGGGCUGGGCAACCCUCCCACCUUUCCUUUUCCAUGGCAGUCGUGAAUGCCAAGUGUUGAAAAUAGUAAUGUUGCAAAACGGAAUUAGCCGGGAUCCCUGAGUUACUUCUUGGAGGAGAGCUUAUCAGACUCUGAUAUGAAGGAGAAAUAAUAAUUUUAUGAAAUCAUUGCUAUUUUGGGGUUGUUUGUUAUCUAAGCAUAUCCUACCCUAUUUUGGCUUAUAUAGGUAUGUUUACAGGAUAAAUAAAAAACAAAUGUGACUUGAGAACUGGAAGUGAAGUAUAGACUGGGAGUGGUAUAAGGUUAAAUUGGAGAAAGAGCCUACAGUGGAAGCAAGGAAACUAGAUAGCGACGUUAUGACAAUAAUCUAGUACAGGAGUUCCCGUCGUGGUACAGCAGAAAAGAAUCUGAGUAGGAACCAUAAGGUUGCGGGUUCCAUCCGUGGCCUUGCUCAGUGGGUUAAGGAUCUGGCAUUGCCAUGAGCUGUGGUGUGGUUCGAAGAUGUGACUCAGAUUCUGCGUUGCUGUGGCUGUGGUGUAGGCCAGCAGCCACAGCUUGGAUUUGACCCCUAGCCUGGGAACCUCCAUAUGCUAUGGGUGCAGCCCUAAAAAGACAAAAAAAAAAAAAUCUAACAGAUGGCAACUGAGAUGGAAAGAAGCAAAUGGAAUUCAGAUAUAUUCUGGAGCAAGAGACAUUCCUUUUAUUCAAAAGAGAAGAUAAAAGAGAAGCUAUUUUGAUUAAAGAAAGAUGAGGGGAUCUAGAUCCAUACCUGUUUAAUCUCCCCUUUGCCCCAAAGGCUUAUCUCCCCAACUCUAAGAUUUAGGAGACAGUCUGAAAAUCAGUGGGCUAGAUGAUGUUGAAAAUCUUGCCAACGUUUUGUAAUUUUAUUGACUUCUGACUUACAAGGUAUAUAUCCUGGCCUAUUUUCAGUUUAGAUCUUUUGUAAAUUAAAUGUUAACUCAAGGAGCCAAAUUAAAAAAAAAUUACUGAAUUAAAUCUUUGGAUACUAACCAUUGAGGAGAGUGCUAAAAUACAUAGACACCUGAUAAGAACAUAUUUUUAAAAAUAUAUAUGGGAGUUCCUGUUGUGGCUCGGCAGAUUAAGGACAUGAUGUUGUCUCUGUGAGGAUGCAGGUUUGAUCCCUGGUCUCUCUUAGUGGGUUAAGGUGCCGGCAUAGCUGCAAGCUGCAGCACAGGUCACAGAGUGGCUCAGAUCCGGUGUUGCUGUGGCUGUGGUGUAGGCCUGAUUCAAUCCCUGGCCCAGGAACUUCCAUAUGGCUGGGGUGUGGCUGUAAAAAGAAAAAAUAUAUAUAUAUGUGUUUUUGUCUAAUUAAAUAACUAACACAUGUUUUUUAUGUGAAAUCCAAAAGUAAAACAUGAAGAGAGAAAUAGAUUUUUAUAAAAGUCGCACAGAAAUAAACAGGAUUCAUUUACAUCUUGGUUUCAUCCGGGUUCGGACUGGAGUCCUGGAGGAUGGCCGUGCGAUGAUUUGUCUGGGGAAGGGGGUGGGUGCAGUAGAGCAGGCCUUGAAAUUAGAGAGAAAAACAUAUGGAGUGUAGACAUCUACUUGCAUCUUUGGGGACUCUGAGCUAGAUUCAAAGUCUGGCCAUAUCCAGGACUGUGGCCACUCCUCUCAGGCUCCAAAGACUCUUACCAAGCAAAGGACAGGAUGCAGAAAUCUUGGUUUUCCAGACAAAAUUGUAAUAUUAGAACCAGAAGGACUUGACACAAGCCUUGGUUUACAGAUGUGGGUGGCCCCAUGAGUCACCAUUUGUUUGUCUGGCAGGGGAGGACUGUGUUUGCCACUUCCCGGGACGUGCAGCACGUCACAAGAGGCUACAAGGUACAGACUCUGAAAACAGGCUGCCUGGAUUAAACCCCAGCCCUGUAACUUAUUAGCUCAGUGGUUGGAGGCAAGAGGCAUAACCGUGCUGAGCCUCCGUUUUGUUUUUGUUUUUGUUUUCUUUAAAAUGGGACUAGUAAUGAUUCCUACCUCACAGAGUAGAUGUCUUGGAGUCAUUAUAAGUGAGACACUUCCAAAGAGUGCCUGGCACACAGUAACCUCUAAGUAAAUGACAACCACGAUUUUUACUUAGUAAGGGAGUUGAGACUUGUUAACAAGCCUCCCAUCUCCCUGAAUCUGAUGUUCAUCACAGGUUUUUUUUUUCCCC
rnacentral:lncRNA from 1 species